rnacentral:tRNA from 3 species
GCCGGGGUGCCCGAGUGGUCAAGGGGCAGGCCUGGAGAGCCUGUGGGCGAAAGCCCUCGUGGGUUCGAAUCCCACCCCCGGCG